AAAUUGAAGAGUUUGAUCAUGGCUCAGAUUGAACGCUGGCGGCAGGCCUAACACAUGCAAGUCGAACGGUAACAGGAAGCAGCUUGCUGCUUCGCUGACGAGUGGCGGACGGGUGAGUAAUGUCUGGGAAACUGCCUGAUGGAGGGGGAUAACUACUGGAAACGGUGGCUAAUACCGCAUAACGUCGCAAGACCAAAGAGGGGGACCUUCGGGCCUCUUGCCAUCAGAUGUGCCCAGAUGGGAUUAGCUGGUUGGUGAGGUAACGGCUCACCAAGGCGACGAUCCCUAGCUGGUCUGAGAGGAUGACCAGCCACACUGGAACUGAGACACGGCCCAGACUCCUACGGGAGGCAGCAGUGGGGAAUAUUGCACAAUGGGCGCAAGCCUGAUGCAGCCAUGCCGCGUGUAUGAAGAAGGCCUUCGGGUUGUAAAGUACUUUCAGCGGGGAGGAAGGUGUUGUGGUUAAUAACC
rnacentral:rRNA from 1 species